rnacentral:rRNA from 1 species
UACGUAGGGGGCGAGCGUUGUCCGGAAUCAUUGGGCGUAAAGAGCGUGUAGGUGGACUGGAAGGUCUGGUGUGAAAGCCCGGGGCUCAACCCCGGAGGGUCACUGGAGACCAACAGUCUUGAGUCUGGAAGAGGAGAGUGGAAUUCCUGGUGUAGCGGUGGAAUGCGCAGAUAUCAGGAGGAACACCAAUGGCGAAGGCAGCUCUCUGGUACAUGACUGACACUGAGACGCGAAAGCGUGGGGAGCGAACAGG